rnacentral:lncRNA from 1 species
UUUCUCUAUUUUUUUUUCUUUUCUUUUCACAUCGUAUUCACAAAACAGAUGUUUCUCUUUUCUAAUUUUUUUUUUCAAUGCUUGCUCGGUUUUUCAUGAGUUGUGGCACUUACCGAUCCUCUUUUUCGUUCUCCCCAACUUAUUUCUUACUCACCUUAAGUGAAUGCUCUUGACUUUUUACGGCAAAAGAACAAUUAUCAAAAUUUUCCGGGUUUCAAGAAAAAAGAUUUUUGACAUCUCGCUUUAUUUCAAGCUGAG